UCCGACUGAGUGGCGAACUGGUGAGUAACACGUGGGUAACCUGCCCAGAAGAAGGGGAUAACACCUGGAGACAGAUGCUAAUACCGUAUAACAACAAGAACCACAUGGUUCUUGUUUGAAAGCUGGCCUUCGUGCUAGUGCUUCUAGAUGGACCCGCGGCGUAUUAGCUGGUUGGUGAGAUAAUAGCUCACCAAGGCAAUGAUACGUAGCAGACCUGAGAGGGUAAUCUGCCACAAUGGGACUGAGACACGGCCCAUACUCC
rnacentral:rRNA from 1 species